rnacentral:rRNA from 1 species
GAUGAACGCUGGCGGCGUGCCUAAUACAUGCAAGUCGAGCGAACGGAUGAGAAGCUUGCUUCUCUGAUGUUAGCGACGGACGGGUGAGUAACACGUGGAUAACCUACCUAUAAGACUGGGAUAACUUCGGGAAACCGUAGCUAAUACCGGAUAAUAUUUUGAACCGCAUGGUUCAAAAGUGAAAGACGGUCUUGCUGUCACUUAUAGAUGGAUCCGCGCUGCAUUAGCUAGUUGGUAAGGUAACGGCUUACCAAGACAACGAUGCAUAGCCGACCUGAGAGGGUGAUCGGCCACACUGGAACUGAGACACGGUCCAGACUCCUACGGGAGGCAGCAGUAGGGAAUCUUCCGCAAUGGGCGAAAGCCUGACGGAGCAACGCCGCGUGAGCGAUGAAGGUCUUCGGAUCGUAAAACUCUGUUAUUAGGGAAGAACAUAUGUGUAAGUAACUGUGCACAUCUUGACGGUACCUAAUCAGAAAGCCACGGCUAACUACGUG